rnacentral:rRNA from 1 species
UGGGGAAUAUUGCACAAUGGGCGCAAGCCUGAUGCAGCCAUGCCGCGUGUAUGAAGAAGGCCUUCGGGUUGUAAAGUACUUUCAGUCGGGAGGAAGGUGGUAAGGUUAAUAACCUUAUCAAUUGACGUUACCGACAGAAGAAGCACCGGCUAACUCCGUGCCAGCAGCCGCGGUAAUACGGAGGGUGCAAGCGUUAAUCGGAAUUACUGGGCGUAAAGCGCACGCAGGCGGUUGAUUGAGUCAGAUGUGAAAUCCCCGGGCUUAACCCGGGAAUUGCAUCUGAUACUGGUCAGCUAGAGUCUUGUAGAGGGGGGUAGAAUUCCAUGUGUAGCGGUGAAAUGCGUAGAGAUGUGGAGGAAUACCGGUGGCGAAGGCGGCCCCCUAGACAAAGACUGACGCUCAGGUGCGAAAGCGUGGGGAGCAAACAGG